AUGGGCAAAUUCAAGCGCGGCUCGCUGAAUCCACCUGCCCAACCCCCCGCCGUCGUCGACGGCGGGAACAAUCCUCCGCCGGCGUCAUGCCUCAUCGACCGCGUGGCCUACAUCGCCGACGUCACCAACGCGAGCACCGCCACCUGCAACACCACGGACAACACCGACAAUCACGGCGUCACCAUCCAGGUCACCUUCGUCGUCGGCGACCCGCCGCAAGUCUCCUACCUUUGCGCCCACUGCAUCGGAUCGCAGUUUGCCUAUGAGCCCAUCAUCGUCGCCACGGAGGGCAGGCUUGCCCUCCUCGCCAUCGACAUCGGACGGUCCUCGUCAGGCCGCGGCCGCAAACACUACAUCUAUUACGCCGGCGACGCCAGCAGAGGCAUGGACCCGUCGCUCAAGCGGCUUCCUGACCCGGAUCCCGCCCCGCGGUCCCUGCACCGCUUCUACGACGGCUAUCAUCUCGGCCUCCUCCUGCGGCCCCGCCCCCAGUCCCAACCCAAACUCCAAGGCGGGGUUUUUCUGCGCAGUUACCGCGCCCAGGAGGCGGAGGAGCAUGUCUCCUACGUCGUCGCCGGGCUCUUCCGCAAACACAAACCAUCAGCAACCGCUCACCUCUUCGACCUUUACCUCUACAGCUCCGAUACCAACAAGUGGUCCAUCCAGGACCAGGAGGCCCCCUUAUUGCUGCUCCAACAUCAGCAACAGCGAGCCGGCGGCGGCGGCGGCGGCUUUGAUUUUGUCACAAACAAGGCCAUCUCCAUCGGCGGAGAACACGCCACCAUGUGCUUCGUCGACCUGCAGCAGGGCAUCCUUCAGUGCAACGUGCUCGACAGCAACCCAGGGCUCCGCUACUAUCCGUUGCCGCCGCCCCUCGAACCCAACCCUGUCACCAUGGUCCAGUCUUACCCACAGGCUUUCCGCGAUGUAGCCAUCAUCGACGGUGGCCGCCGCAUCAAGUGCGCCCAGCUGCAUCUGGAUGUCACCUUAAACUGCGAGGACAGCAACUGGGGGGACUGGACUGUUCCCUCCUACCAUGGCUGGAAGGCAGCCACAUGGAGCAUGGACACUACCCAUCCUUCUUCUGGCUGGCGCCAGGACAGCGAGGUAGUUCAUGCAUCUGAGAUUGGCAGCACCAUACACCCGGCGCUUCUCCAAUAUAUUGCCACCGCAUGA
rnacentral:rRNA from 1 species